rnacentral:lncRNA from 1 species
AGGAGGUGCCAAAGGUAACGACCGAGGAAUCAUCAGCGGAGGUCACGGAUCGAGGACUGUUUGAUUUCUUGGGGAAGAAGAAGGAGGAAACAAAACCUGAGGAGACCAUCGACUCUGAGUUUGAACAUAAGGUUCAUAUCUCAGAGCCAGUGGUGCCUGAGGUUAAACACGAGAAAGAAGAGAAAAAUCAUAGUCUCCUCGAGAAGCUUCACCGAAGCGACAGCUCUUCUAGCUCCGUAAGUUUAUAUAUGAUCAUUAAAAAAUAUAGUGGAAGAUUCGGACAUAAUCUAUGUGUAUAAGUGUAUUGUGUUAGAUCUUGUCUGUUGAAUGAUGGUAACUGUAACCUAGUCUAACUAUAUGGAUACGUAUUGGACA